AAGGUGGAGUGGAAACAGGACUCGAUCCGAACAUCGGGUAUUCGUCCGCACACCUGAGCAGCGAAAGAGAGUGCGAGUAUUCAAGAAGGCGGGAGGAAAAUGUGUUCAAAUGGAAGCUCAACUGGGUGGGGGUGGAAGUUGGCGCUGAAAGUUGGGCCCGGCGACAACCUGCAGCAUCCCUUUGGCAAACGCUGUACUAUACAUAUAUUGUACUGUAAAUAGUACCAGAUUGUUUCGUUUUUUGUCCAGAAGCAUCCAGUCGGGCGGAAGCUAUCAUCAUCCUGUUGUGCUAGUAAUUGUGUCUUGGGGGAAGGGAAGAUUAAGGUCCAUGAGAA
rnacentral:sRNA from 1 species